AUUGAACGCUGGCGGCAGGCCUAACACAUGCAAGUCGAACGAGUGGCGGACGGGUGAGUAAUGUCUGGGAAACUGCCCGAUGGAGGGGGAUAACUACUGGAAACAGUAGCUAAUACCGCAUACCAUCGGAUGUGCCCAUAUGGGAUUAGCUAGUAGGUGGGGUAACGGCUCACCUAGGCGACGAUCCCUAGCUGGUCUGAGAGGAUGACCAGCCACACUGGAACUGAGACACGGUCCAGACUCCUACGGGAGGCAGCAGUGGGGAAUAUUGCACAAUGGGCGCAAGCCUGAUACAGCCAUGCCGCGUGUAUGAAGAAGGCCUUAGGGUUGUAAAGUACUUUCAGCCAGGAGGCGUUACUCACAGAAGAAGCACCGGCUAACUCCGUGCCAGCAGCCGCGGUAAUUC
rnacentral:rRNA from 1 species